rnacentral:rRNA from 1 species
UCCUACGGGAGGCAGCAGUGGGGAAUUUUGGACAAUGGGCGAAAGCCUGAUCCAGCAAUGCCGCGUGUGUGAAGAAGGCCUUCGGGUUGUAAAGCACUUUUGUCCGGAAAGAAAUCCUUGGCUCUAAUACAGUCGGGGGAUGACGGUACCGGAAGAAUAAGCACCGGCUAACUACGUGCCAGCAGCCGCGGUAAUACGUAGGGUGCGAGCGUUAAUCGGAAUUACUGGGCGUAAAGCGUGCGCAGGCGGUUUGCUAAGACCGAUGUGAAAUCCCCGGGCUCAACCUGGGAACUGCAUUGGUGACUGGCAGGCUAGAGUAUGGCAGAGGGGGGUAGAAUUCCACGUGUAGCAGUGAAAUGCGUAGAGAUGUGGAGGAAUACCGAUGGCGAAGGCAGCCCCCUGGGCCAAUACUGACGCUCAUGCACGAAAGCGUGGGGAGCAAACAGGAUUAGAUACCCUGGUAGUCCACGCCCUAAACGAUGUCAACUAGUUGUUGGGGAUUCAUUUCCUUAGUAACGUAGCUAACGCGUGAAGUUGACCGCCUGGGGAGUACGGUCGCAAGAUUAAAACUCAAAGGAAUUGACGGGGACCCGCACAAGCGGUGGAUGAUGUGGAUUAAUUCGAUGCAACGCGAAAAACCUUACCUACCCUUGACAUGGUCGGAAUCCCGCUGAGAGGUGGGAGUGCUCGAAAGAGAACCGGCGCACAGGUGCUGCAUGGCUGUCGUCAGCUCGUGUCGUGAGAUGUUGGGUUAAGUCCCGCAACGAGCGCAACCCUUGUCCUUAGUUGCUACGCAAGAGCACUCUAAGGAGACUGCCGGUGACAAACCGGAGGAAGGUGGGGAUGACGUCAAGUCCUCAUGGCCCUUAUGGGUAGGGCUUCACACGUCAUACAAUGGUCGGAACAGAGGGUUGCCAACCCGCGAGGGGGAGCUAAUCCCAGAAAACCGAUCGUAGUCCGGAUUGCACUCUGCAACUCGAGUGCAUGAAGCUGGAAUCGCUAGUAAUCGCGGAUCAGCACGCCCCGGUGAAUACGUUCCCGGGCCUUGUACACACCGC